rnacentral:misc_RNA from 1 species
GUGAAUCAUCAAAUUUUUGAACGCAAAUUGCACUCUCUUUGGAGAGUAUGCCUGUUUGAGGGUCAGUAAUAAUAAAAUCGGGGUGUUGCUUUCGUGAUGCACCGGAGGUUGGGUCUUCUUAGCUUUAGGUUAAGAGUCUUAAAAUUGAUAUCUUUUUUGCGCGCUUUUAGACGUACAUAAUUUUUUUUAUUCGUCUAUUCCGGUGCCAAAAUUUACUAGGUACGAUUAUCUUUUGCCUAUAAUUUCUCAUCUUUUGACCUCAAAUCAGGUAAGGACACCCGCUGAACUUAAGCAUAUCAAA